rnacentral:tRNA from 1 species
UGGCUCAGUUGGUAGAGCGUGGUGUUUGCAAUGCCAGCAUGGUGUGUGCAACACCAGGGUUGUGGGUUCAAUUCCCAC